GACAGAGGUGGCCAAGCGUUAGGCGGAAUCACUGGGCUUAAAGCGUGUGUAGGCGGUAAGGGUAAGUACCUUGUGAAAUCCCACGGCUCAACCGUGGAAGCUGCUUGGUAUACUGCUUUUCUUGAGCCACUUGAGGGGCUACCGGGAACAAAUGGUGGAGCGGUGAAAUGCGUAGAUAUCAUUUGGAACGCCAAUGGUGAAAACAGGGUAGCUGGGAGUGUGCUGACGCUGAGACACGAAAGCCAGGGGAGGCGAACGGG
rnacentral:rRNA from 1 species